GACGAACGCUGGCGGCGUGCCUAAUACAUGCAAGUAGAACGCUGAAGAGAGGAGCUUACUCUUCUUGGAUGAGUUGCGAACGGGUGAGUAACGCGUAGGUAACCUGCCUUGUAGCGGGGGAUAACUAUUGGAAACGAUAGCUAAUACCGCAUAACAAUGGAUGACACAUGUCAUUUAUUUGAAAGGGGCAAUUGCUCCACUACAAGAUGGACCUGCGUUGUAUUAGCUAGUAGGUGAGGUAAUGGCUCACCUAGGCGACGAUACAUAGCCGACCUGAGAGGGUGAUCGGCCACACUGGGACUGAGACACGGCCCAGACUCCUACGGGAGGCAGCAGUAGGGAAUCUUCGGCAAUGGGGGCAACCCUGACCAAGCAACGCCGCGUGAGUGAAGAAGGUUUUCGGAUCGUAAAGCUCUGUUGUAAGUCAAGAACGGGUGUGAGAGUGGAAAGUUCACACUGUGACGGUAGCUUACCAGAAAGGGACGGCUAACUACGUG
rnacentral:rRNA from 1 species